CGGACGGGUGAGUAAUGUCUGGGAAACUGCCUGAUGGAGGGGGAUAACUACUGGAAACGGUAGCUAAUACCGCAUAACGUCGCGAGACCAAAGAGGGGGACCUUAGGGCCUCUUGCCAUCGGAUGUGCCCAGAUGGGAUUAGCUAGUAGGUGGGGUAACGGCUCACCUAGGCGACGAUCCCUAGCUGGUCUGAGAGGAUGACCAGCCACACUGGAACUGAGACACGGUCCAA
rnacentral:rRNA from 1 species